UGGGGAAUAUUGCACAAUGGGCGCAAGCCUGAUGCAGCGACGCCGCGUGAGGGAUGACGGCCUUCGGGUUGUAAACCUCUUUCAAUAGGGACGAAGCGCAAGUGACGGUACCUAUAGAAGAAGCACCGGCCAACUACGUGCCAGCAGCCGCGGUAAUACGUAGGGUGCGAGCGUUGUCCGGAAUUACUGGGCGUAAAGAGCUCGUAGGUGGUUUGUCGCGUUGUUCGUGAAAACUCACAGCUUAACUGUGGGCGUGCGGGCGAUACGGGCAGACUGGAGUACUGCAGGGGAGACUGGAAUUCCUGGUGUAGCGGUGGAAUGCGCAGAUAUCAGGAGGAACACCGGUGGCGAAGGCGGGUCUCUGGGCAGUAACUGACGCUGAGGGAGAC
rnacentral:rRNA from 1 species